UACGUAGGUGGCAAGCGUUGUUCGGAAUUACUGGGCGUAAAGGGCUCGUAGGCGGCCAACUAAGUCAGACGUGAAAUCCCCAGGCUCAACCUGGGAACUGCGUCUGAUACUGGAUGGCUUGAAUCCGGGAGAGGGAUGCAGAAUUCCAGGUGUAGCGGUGAAAUGCGUAGAUAUCUGGAGGAAUACCGGUGGCGAAGGCGGCAUCCUGGACCGGCAUUGACGCUGAGGAGCGAAAGCUAGGGGAGCAAACGGG
rnacentral:rRNA from 1 species